CUGCUUAUGUUACUCAUCUGUUCCUGCAUGCGGUCUACUUUUUCCAUUAGAGUCCUUAGCAUAUUAAUCCUGGUUGUUUCACAUUUUGGCCUGAGAAUUUCAACAUUCUGCCCUGAGUCUGCUUCCGAUACAUGCUCUGCCUCUUCAAACUGUGGUUUUGUUUUUGCUUUUGCUAUUUAGUAUGCCUUGUAAUUUCUUGUUGAAAAGUGGACAUGAUGUAAAAGGAACUCUGAUAAUUAGGCCUUUAGUAAUGUGGAGGUAAAGUGUGGGGAAGGGCGUAUUCUACAGCCCUUUAAUUAGGUCUCCUGUUUUGGCAAGCCUCUGCUCCUGGGCUGUAAGCUUCACAGGUGCUUCUCAUUAUUUCCUUCCCACUUUAGGUGGGACAGGAUGUCGAGAGGGGCUAGAGGGGCUAGAGCAAGUAGUUCCCCUCUCCAUGUGGAAGGCUAGUGGGAGCUGAAGCUGGGAAUUUCCCUUCCCCCAGGUCAGUUAGGCUCUGGUAAAAUAAAUUCUCCUGAGGGCAGGCUGUGUUAAGAACAGAACGUUCUGGUGCAUUUCAAAAUGGUUGCUUCCUCCCAUCCCUGCCAGAAGCACAAGGGGAUUUUCUCUGAUUUUCACUCUAAGAACCUAAUAGGGCUCCUGGAGAUAAUACUCACAAAAGCGCGGGGGCCCUCCGUGAAUGGCACCCCUAGAGUUUUUAAUUCUCAGAGCUUCCAGCAAUUCAUCAAUUACAGUUCAGGUUUUCUGCCCCCAGCUGGUUCCUGGAGGUUUCUGCUCAGCGUUGGCUGUACGUGCAAACUAUCGGCAAUAACCCGAAUGCACAUGUAUAGGAGGGUGGUCGAAUAAGCCGUGAUGCAUCCACAUAGACGGCCGUGCUAUGCAGCUGGAGAAAAGAAUAAAGAAUGUCUCUGUGAACCGGUAUGGAAUAAUUUCCAGGAUAUAUGAAAUUUAAAAAGCAAAGGAUAAAAGAGCAUCUAGAACACUGGUUAGCUAACUUUUUUCUGGAAAGGGCCAGGUGGCAAAUAUUUUAGAUUUUGUAGAUCACAUGUUCUUGGUGGAGACUACCCAAUUGCAGUUGUAGUGUGAAAGCCAUCACAGCCCAUACUACCGGGAAGGGUACUGAGACUGGGUUCCAAUCAUACUUGGUUUACAAAACAGGCAGCAGGUUAGAUACAGCCCUCAGGCUUUCAUUUGCUGAUCCCUAAUUUGUUGAUUCAUGUAAGAAAGGGCUAUAAGAAAACACAGGAAGGAAAAAAACAAUGAGAUUGAUUAGCUACAGGGAGUAGAAGGGAAUGAGGUAGAAAGAG
rnacentral:lncRNA from 1 species